rnacentral:rRNA from 1 species
UAAUACAGAGGGUGCAAGCGUUAAUCGGAUUUACUGGGCGUAAAGCGCGCGUAGGCGGCUAAUUAAGUCAAAUGUGAAAUCCCCGAGCUUAACUUGGGAAUUGCAUUCGAUACUGGUUAGCUAGAGUGUGGGAGAGGAUGGUAGAAUUCCAGGUGUAGCGGUGAAAUGCGUAGAGAUCUGGAGGAAUACCGAUGGCGAAGGCAGCCAUCUGGCCUAACACUGACGCUGAGGUGCGAAAGCAUGGGGAGCAAACAGGAUUAGAUACCCUGGUAGUCCAUGCCGUAAACGAUGUCUACUAGCCGUUGGGGCCUUUGAGGCUUUAGUGGCGCAGCUAACGCGAUAAGUAGACCGCCUGGGGAGUACGGUCGCAAGACUAAAACUCAAAUGAAUUGACGGGGGCCCGCACAAGCGGUGGAGCAUGUGGUUUAAUUCGAUGCAACGCGAAGAACCUUACCUGGCCUUGACAUAGUAAGAACUUUCCAGAGAUGGAUUGGUGCCUUCGGGAACUUACAUACAGGUGCUGCAUGGCUGUCGUCAGCUCGUGUCGUGAGAUGUUGGGUUAAGUCCCGCAACGAGCGCAACCCUUUUCCUUAUUUGCCAGCGAGUAAUGUCGGGAACUUUAAGGAUACUGCCAGUGACAAACUGGAGGAAGGCGGGGACGACGUCAAGUCAUCAUGGCCCUUACGGCCAGGGCUACACACGUGCUACAAUGGUCGGUACAAAGGGUUGCUACCUAGCGAUAGGAUGCUAAUCUCAAAAAGCCGAUCGUAGUCCGGAUUGGAGUCUGCAACUCGACUCCAUGAAGUCAGAAUCGCUAGUAAUCGCGGAUCAGAAUGCCGCGGUGAAUACGUUCCCGGGCCUUGUACACACCGCCCGUCACACCAUGGGAGUUUGUUGCACCAGAAGUAGCUAGCCUAACUGCAAAGAG